UACGUAGGGGGCAAGCGUUGUUCGGAAUUACUGGGCGUAAAGGGCGCGUAGGCGGCACGACAAGUCGGGAGUGAAAGCCCGGGGCUCAACCCCGGAAUGUCUCUCGAAACUGUCGAGCUAGAGUGCAGAAGAGGCAACUGGAAUUCCCAGUGUAGCGGUGAAAUGCGUAGAUAUCAGGAAGAACACCAACGGCGAAGGCAGCUCGCUGGGACGGUACUGACGCUGAGACGCGAAAGCGUGGGGAGCGAACAGG
rnacentral:rRNA from 1 species